rnacentral:rRNA from 1 species
GACGAACGCUGGCGGUGUGCUUAACACAUGCAAGUCGAACGGAAAGGCCCUGCUUUUGUGGGGUGCUCGAGUGGCGAACGGGUGAGUAACACGUGAGUAACCUGCCCUUGACUUUGGGAUAACUUCAGGAAACUGGGGCUAAUACCGGAUAGGAGCUCCAGCUGCAUGGUGGGGGUUGGAAAGUUUCGGCGGUUGGGGAUGGACUCACGGCUUAUCAGCUUGUUGGUGGGGUAGUGGCUUACCAAGGCUUUGACGGGUAGCCGGCCUGUGAGGGUGACCGGCCACAUUGGGACUGAGAUACGGCCCAGACUCCUACGGGAGGCAGCAGUGGGGAAUAUUGCACAAUGGGCGGAAGCCUGAUGCAGCAACGCCGCGUGCGGGAUGACGGCCUUCGGGUUGUAAACCGCUUUCGCCUGUGACGAAGCGUGAGUGACGGUAAUGGGUAAAGAAGCACCGGCUAACUACGUG